CAUUUCAUAUCUAGAGACUUGAGAAAUGAAGAUAGUCAGAUAGAUAAGGGGAAGAGAGACAUAUCCAAAAAGGGUAAGUCGAGGUAUUGAAAGCCCCUUAGCAAAACCAAAAACUAUAAAAACCUCUUAAUAAAUUUUAAAACAAACAAAAAAUGGGCCCUUUUACCUAAAGAAAAAAAUUGAAAUUGGGCUUAAAUAAAACUAACCUCAGAGAAUGUAUCAUAUGUGUUUCUGGCCUUGUCUUUCUUGCCAGAAAGGGGGCAGACAAAGCAUUAUUUAAGUUUCUAACCAUUGGGAUCACUACAAACACGACAUAAAAGGAAGGCACUCCAGCUGAUACUGACAAACUCGAUGG